rnacentral:rRNA from 1 species
CCUACGGGUGGCAGCAGUGAGGAAUAUUGGUCAAUGGGCGAGAGCCUGAACCAGCCAAGUAGCGUGAAGGAUGACUGCCCUACGGGUUGUAAACUUCUUUUAUAAAGGAGUAAAGUGAGGCACGUGUGCCUUUUUGUAUGUACUUUAUGAAUAAAGAUAGGCUAACUCCGUGCCAGCAGCCGCGGUAAUACGGAGGAUCCGAGCGUUAUCCGGAUUUAUUGGGUUUAAAGGGAGCGUAGAUGGGUUGUUAAGUCAGUUGUGAAAGUUUGCGGCUCAACCGUAAAAUUGCAAUUGAUACUGGCAGUCUUGAGUACAGUUGAGGUAGGCGGAAUUCGUGGUGUAGCGGUGAAAUGCGUAGAUAGCACGAAGAACGCCGAUGGCGAAGGCAGCUUACUAAACUGCCACUGACAUUGAGGCGCGAAAGUGUGGGUAGCAAACAGGAUUAGAUACCCGAGUAGUC